AUUUACCUACGGGAGGCAGCAGUGAGGAAUAUUGGUCAAUGGGCGCGAGCCUGAACCAGCCAAGUCGCGUGAGGGAAGACGGUCCUAUGGAUUGUAAACCUCUUUUGUCGGGGAGCAAAGGCGGGGACUAGUCCCCGGAUGAGGGUACCUGAAGAAAAAGCAUCGGCUAACUCCGUGCCAGCAGCCGCGGUAAUACGGAGGAUGCGAGCGUUAUCCGGAUUUAUUGGGUUUAAAGGGUGCGCAGGCGGCCUGUUAAGUCAGCGGUA
rnacentral:rRNA from 1 species